UGGGGGAUAUUGCACAAUGGGCGAAAGCCUGAUGCAGCGACGCCGCGUGGGGGAUGAAGGCUUUCGGGUUGUAAACCUCUUUCGCUAUCGAACAAGGCCCGCUUAGGGUGGGUUGAGGGUAGGUGGAGAAGAAGCGCCGGCUAACUACGUGCCAGCAGCCGCGGUAAUACGUAGGGCGCGAGCGUUGUCCGGAAUUAUUGGGCGUAGGGCUUGUAGGCGGCUUGUUGCGCCUGCUGUGAAAACGCGGGGCUUAACUUCGCGCGUGCAGUGGGUACGGGCAGGCUUGAGUGUGGUAGGGGGGACUGGAAUUCCCGGUGUAGCGGUGGAAUGCGCAGAUAUCUGGAGGAACACCGAUGGCGAAGGCAGGUCACUGGGCCAUUACUGACGCUGAGGAGCGAAAGCAUGGGUAGCGAACAGG
rnacentral:rRNA from 1 species